UACGUAGGGUGCGAGCGUUGUCCGGAUUUAUUGGGCGUAAAGAGCUUGUAGGCGGCUCGUCACGGUCGGGUGUGAAAACUCGCGGCUCAACCGCGAGCCUGCACCCGAUACGGGCGGGACUGGAGUUGCGGCAGGGGAGAACUGGAAUUCCUGGUGUAGGCGGUGGAAUGCGCAGAUAUCAGGAGGAACACCGGUGGCGAAGGCGG
rnacentral:rRNA from 1 species